AUUGAACGCUGGCGGCAGGCCUAACACAUGCAAGUCGAGCGGAUGACGGGAGCUUGCUCCUUGAUUCAGCGGCGGACGGGUGAGUAAUGCCUAGGAACCUGCCUGGUAGUGGGGGACAACGUUUCGAAAGGAACGCUAAUACCGCAUACGUCCUACGGGAGAAAGCAGGGGACCUUCGGGCCACAUGCUAUCGGAUGCGCCUACGUGGGAUUAGCUAGUUGGUGAGGUAAUGGCUCACCAAGGCGACGAUCCCUAGCUGGUUUGAGAGGAUGAUCAGCCACACUGGAACUGAGACACGGUCCAGACUCCUACGGGAGGCAGCAGUGGGGAAUAUUGGACAAUGGGCGCAAGCCUGAUCCAGCCAUGCCGCGUGUGUGAAGAAGGCCUUCGGGUUGUAAAGCACUUUCAGUAGGGAGGAAGCGUUGUGUGUUAAUAGUACACAGCGUUGACGUUACCUACAGAAGAAGCACCGGCUAACUCUGUGUCAGCCGCCGCAGUAACAC
rnacentral:rRNA from 1 species